rnacentral:rRNA from 1 species
CCUACGGGGUGCAGCAGUGGGGAAUAUUGGACAAUGGGCGAAAGCCUGAUCCAGCCAUGCCGCGUGUGUGAAGAAGGCCUUCGGGUUGUAAAGCACUUUCAGUGGGGAAGAAAGCCUUGGGGCUAAUACCCUCGAGGAAGGACAUCACCCACAGAAGAAGCACCGGCUAACUCCGUGCCAGCAGCCGCGGUAAUACGGAGGGUGCGAGCGUUAAUCGGAAUUACUGGGCGUAAAGCGCGCGUAGGCGGUCUGAUAAGCCGGUUGUGAAAGCCCCGGGCUCAACCUGGGAACGGCAUCCGGAACUGUCAGGCUAGAGUGCAGGAGAGGAAGGUAGAAUUCCCGGUGUAGCGGUGAAAUGCGUAGAGAUCGGGAGGAAUACCAGUGGCGAAGGCGGCCUUCUGGACUGACACUGACGCUGAGGUGCGAAAGCGUGGGUAGCAAACAGGAUUAGAUCCCCGUGUAGUC